AGUUCACAUUUAUGAUCAAGGUCUUGUGUUGAAAAUGUUGUCCGACCCUGAGAUUGUGAAAGCUGUCCAUCUGUAUGUGUCUAAGGAGAAGGUUGACGAUCAUAUUGCUCCGCCUAGUAAGCAAAUUCAUAUUGGUCCAUCUAACCAUCCGAAUGAGAGUGUUCUCUUACAACACGGUGGUGUCUCUGCUGAAGGGGCAGGGCAACUUACUAUGGGAAUGCCGCAAAGACCAUGAUGUCAACCAAUUACAAAUUCAACAGAAUUCAUCAUCAUCACAAGACCAUGUUAUUGAUUCUGUGCCAGAGGUGAGGGAAACCAGGGAUCUUACAGGUGAAUCUGUUUCAAGAACGAACCAGCAGGGGACUAGAACUGAACACCCACACCCAGCUCGCUCAAAAAGAAAGCGUACUUCUUCCAUCAAGAUCAACCUAUUCUUGAUAAUGAGGAGCUGGUAAGGGAAGUUUCUAAUUGCAAGACAAUUGGUGAGGCUUUCAAUUCAGGAUACUUAAUUGCCUGGCCUUCAGCUUUUAUUCGAGAGAAGGAUAGUUGAAUUGCAGCUGAAUUCUUGGAUCAAGAAGCAAAUAAAAUUGGAAGAUUUUAGCUACCAAUAGUUGUAGUUUACAUUGAUAGAUUUAUAAAUGUAAUAUCAUCAACAUGAUAUUUUUCUUCAU